CCUUCCCUCUGUGACAGCCGGAAGCUGAAACACACCAGGCCGCCAGGGCGGCUCAGGGCAGCUCAGGGCAGCCGGCUCUUCCUUCUUAGCUCGGCAUCUCCAGGCCACAUGGCCAGGGCUCAAGGCCAAACCCACGGAUGGGUCUAUUUUCUCCCUGGGUCGAGCCACAGAAGUCCCUGCCAGGAACUUUUCCGCAGGCUCCACAAAACCUGGCUCCAGCCCUGCAAGCUAGCCCUGUGAGGAGGUGAGGGGAGGUCCAGAUGUUUCCAGAGUGAUGCUCCUUGUGAUGUUCCCAGGCAGACAUACUUGGAGCAGCUGCGUCUUGGGCUCAUCUUGGGAGUUUCAUGUUUGCAGUCUGCUGAGAGCCCAGCACGGGCCUACAGGGCUCCAGGCUGGGUGGGGGGACAGUGACCCGGGCAGGCGGAGUGCAGCCUGCAGCCACCACAGCUGUGCCGAACGUGAUGCUGAACACGACGGGGAAUGAGCCAUUCGGGCUGACACUAUCCUCCUUUAAACCUCAUCCAAUGAGGUGACCUGGAUGGAGGAGGCCACGUGACCCAUACUGGACCCACCUGAAGGAGACACCAACCUGGGUUGUGUUGUGAGAGACCAAGAAAGACUGAAUUGCCCAUGCUGGCUCCUGCAUGUCCUUGCUCCAACACCUGUGUCCCCUCUUUCCCCUGAUCUUGGCCCCUAACUGUUCCUCUUCACCCCUCUUGAUAAAGUCAAAAUUGCCCAAACCAUCACUGCUAAUCCACAAAAUCAAUCCCUCCCCAUUCUGAAAACUCUCUUGACCAACUAUUGCUGACUCUGGCUGAACUUCAGCUGACCUCCUCUUGCUAAAGUCCUAUGAAACAUUCAGCCCUUCUUCCCCAGGUUAGAACUCCCCUUUGGAGCCUUGCCUGGCUUUUUAAAAAAAGGCUGACACUAAUGGUGUCCCGGUUGAUUUUUUUCCAGAAUGUUAAGCCAUCAAGAUUUCAGGCUUUAUUUGUUAUCACACCAUAGCCUAGGCUACACUGACUAAUAUAUUCACUAAAUUUAUAAACAACAUUGGAACAUUUUAUUGAAUUUAAGG